rnacentral:rRNA from 1 species
GAUGAACGCUGGCGGCGUGCCUAAUACAUGCAAGUCGAGCGAACGGACGAGAAGCUUGCGGCGCUGACGUUAGCGGAGGACGGGAGAGUAACACGUGGAUAACCUACCUAUAAGAGUGGGAUAACUUCGGGAAACCGGAUCUAACACCGGAGAAGAUUUUGAACCGCAGGGGGGAAAAGUGAAAGACGGUGGUGCGGGAAGGUAUAGAUGGAUCCGCGCUGCAUUGGCUAGUUGUGAAGUUAACGGCUUACCAAGGCAACGAGGCAUAGGCGACCGGAGAGGCUGAUCGGCCACACGGGAGGUGGGCCACGCACCAGGCUCCUACGGGAGGCAGCAGUCGGGAAUCUUCCGCAAUGGGGGGAAGCCUGGCGGAGCGGCGCCGCGUGAGUGGUGAAGGUCUUCGGUUCGUAAAGCUCUGUUAUUGGGGAAGAACAUAUGUGUACUUAGCUGUGGCCAUCUUGACGGUACCUGAUCAGAAAGCACCGGCUAACUACGUG